rnacentral:rRNA from 1 species
AGAUUGAACGCUGGCGGCAUGCUUUACACAUGCAAGUCGAACGGUAACAGGCCGCAAGGUGCUGACGAGUGGCGAACGGGUGAGUAAUGUAUCGGAACGUGCCCAGUCGUGGGGGAUAACGCAGCGAAAGCUGCGCUAAUACCGCAUACGAUCUAUGGAUGAAAGCGGGGGACCGUAAGGCCUCGCGCGAUUGGAGCGGCCGAUAUCAGAUUAGGUAGUUGGUGGGGUAAAGGCUCACCAAGCCAACGAUCUGUAGCUGGUCUGAGAGGACGACCAGCCACACUGGGACUGAGACACGGCCCAGACCUCCUACGGGAGGCAGCA